UACGUAGGGAGCAAGCGUUGUCCGGAAUCAUUGGGCGUAAAGCGCGCGUAGGUGGCUUCGUAAGUCCGUUGUGAAAGUCAAAGGCUCAACCUUUGAAAGCCGAUGGAUACUGCGGAGCUAGAGUACGGAAGAGGCGAGUGGAAUUCCUGAUGUAGCGGUGGAAUGCGCAGAUAUCAGGAGGAACACCAAUAGCGAAGGCAGCUCGCUGGGACGUUACUGACACUGAGGCGCGAAAGCGUGGGGAGCGAACAGG
rnacentral:rRNA from 1 species